rnacentral:rRNA from 1 species
UACGUAGGGUCCGAGCGUUGUCCGGAAUUAUUGGGCGUAAAGGGCUCGUAGGCGGUCUGUCGCGUCGGGGAGUGAAAACUUACAGCUUAACUGUGAGCGUGCUUCCGAUACGGGCAGACUUGAGGUAUUCAGGGGAGAACGGAAUUCCUGGUGUAGCGGUGAAAUGACGCAGAGUAUCAGGAGGAACACCGGUGGCGAAGGCGGUUCUCUGGGAAGUAUCCUGACGCUGAGGAGCGAAAGCGUGGGGAGCGAACAGG